AGGCAGGGUGCGUACCGACCCGCCUACCAGGCAGGCUAGAAGCCUCACGCUGCUGCUUGGCAGCGGGUGGGUACCCAACCCCUCC
rnacentral:pre_miRNA from 1 species